rnacentral:rRNA from 1 species
AGAGUUUGAUCCUGGCUCAGAAUCAACGCUGGCGGCGUGCCUAACACAUGCAAGUCGCACGAGAAAGGGUAGCAAUACCCGAGUACAGUGGCGCACGGGUGAGUAACACGUGGAUCAUCUACCUCUUUGUGGGGGAUAACUCUGGGAAACCGGAGCUAAUACCGCAUAAGCUCGAGAGAGGAAAGCAGCAAUGCGCAGAGAGAGGAGUCCGCGGCCGAUUAGCUAGUUGGCGGGGUAAUGGCCCACCAAGGCGAUGAUCGGUAGCCGGCCUGAGAGGGCACACGGCCACACUGGCACUGAAACACGGGCCAGACUCCUACGGGAGGCAGCAGUGGGGAAUCUUGCACAAUGGGGGCAACCCUGAUGCAGCGACGCCGCGUGAGCGAUGAAGCCCUUCGGGGUGUAAAGCUCUUUCGGCAGGGACGAUAAUGACGGUACCUGAAGAAGAAGCUGCGGCUAACUACGUGCCAGCAGCCGCGGUAAUACGUAGGCAGCAAGCGUUGUUCGGAAUUACUGGGCGUAAAGAGUGUGUAGGCGGUUUUCUAAGUUUGGUGUGAAAUCUCCCGGCUUAACUGGGAGGGUGCGCCGAAAACUGGAAGGCUUGAGUGUCGGAGAGGAUAGCGGAAUUCCCCGUGUAGCGGUGAAAUGCGUAGAUAUCGGGAGGAACACCUGCGGUGUAGACGGCUAUCUGGACGACCACUGACGCUGAGACACGAAAGCGUGGGUAGCAAACAGGAUUAGAUACCCUAGUAGUCC